UGCGGAUGCAGCAGGUAAACAAACCAGCCCGGCCCGCCAGGGGCUUUCCCUGAACAAGCGGCAGCCCUAGUUUGAGAACCACUGGCAUAGACCAUUUGUGAAACUCAGUCAUGUCAUAUUGAUACUUCACAUAUUUGAUAGGAUAUCAAAUUAGUACACUCUGCCACCGUCAUGUAAAUAACCUACUACUGCAAUUUGUCCCCAUUAGAUCAACAGGCAACUUGAUGCCUGACAGCUAUACAAAGCAAAGCAGAGCGUCAAAAAUGGUAGUCUAACAAUAUGAAAGGGAGGUAAAUAUUUAUUAUUUGUACUACCAUAGCAUCUAGAAACCUGAGUCAUGGUCCAGGACCUCAAUGCGCUAGGUGGAAAUAUAACCAACAUUUAUGUACCAGAAAUGUUAUUCCUUGAACCAAAGAAAGCACGUGCUGUGAUGUAAUUGCAGCACUAAAGCAGCAGUAUUUUAGACAGCGAAAAAUGUGCAAGUUUUCUAUGCUUCUUUUAUUGUUAUUAAAAGAAGCACUGUUACCUUGACAACGGCUGUAUCACAUGAGAUUUGUUAUAGAAACCCAAAUGUUACUUAGACUUGCACAUUUGCAAUCAAUUUAGAGAAACCCAUUGUGUGUUUUUUAAAAAAAUCAGACAUUUUCCCCUAUGACUAUAAGCCUACAACUUUCAACGUAUUGUAUUUUUAAAUGCAUGUGGCACCUGACUUAUGCCCAUGAAAUCUGCACAUUCAGCCACUUUGCACCCAGAUCUAGUGUUUAAAUGCAUGAUUUAGGCAGCCACAUUUGAAAACUUCAGCAUCACUCUUCUUUUAUCCUUUUUUAAAAAAAGUGUUAAUCUUGUUUUAAGGGAAAGAAUUGGAUGCGGAAGGAUAAGGAAGAACCAGCAGAUGAGCCAAUGGGAAGCAGAUUGUGUGAACACAGAAGGAAGAUUGGCAAGUACAUGGUAAACCAUGGCAGUGUGAGGAAGUGCCUUUUUAAAAAAGAAAAAUUGUCCUUGUCUGAGAGAGAGAGAGAGAGAGAGAGAGAGAGAGACUGGCAAGGUAAAGGAGAAGAGGUCAUGGAGACAACUGCACCACAGUUUACAUGGAAGUAGAGAAUGAGAAGACAGAAACAGCAGCCAAGUCCCCGCAAAUUAAAAUUCAUCUUCAAGGCCUCCUCAAACCAAAAAGUUGCAAGGAACAGCCCAAGACAAAAGUAGAAUUCUGUAAGCCUAAAAGACACUGGUAACAUCCACAAGACAACAGGAAGAAAGGAUAGCAAUGCUGCUCUUAUCGCUAAGAUUUUAAGAGCGUUUGCACUAGUUACAGCCCUCUUAAACCCUUGCCAUUGUCCACCUAAGAAUCCCAAACUGGUUCUCUCCAGACAGGAGUCUGUGAUAAGAAAGAAAGGGGAGGCUUGAAACAGAUUUGAUAAGUCUAAAGCAUGUCAUUGCCUAAGGAACAGCAUCCUCAGUUCUGUCUAUUCGGAGGCUUACGAUAUACAUUAAGAAUAGCUUGUCACCGGCUAUUUGAAAGAAUCAUGCUUAUUACAUUCUCUCCUGGAAGAAAUCAUAUUCCAGCUACAGCAUCAGAGUAACUCCAAUUAUGCUGAUGUUUUGGGGUCCAGAUGGUGUGGCUAAGAUGACAGUCAUUUUACCUUUAUAAUACACUGUGCAGUGAAUGACAGUGUAAAUUACAAAGACAAAAUGACUCAUCUACACCAUCCCAAGAGGCCACCUGUUACAAAACAGUGGUAAAUGUAAAGAUGUGGAGGUUGAGAGAAAGAUUGAGCCCAUGUAUUAGAAGUCUGCCAUGGCUUCUUUUGCUUGUGUAUUAAUUUUUCAUGUUAACCUCAAAUUCUAUUAAGCUAGUUGUGUUUACACUCGUUUCACAUGGUACCAAAAAUAACCCAAGGCAAUUACCUUUGUUUACAGGAGCUAAUGAAAAAAGAGUUUUCAAUGUCCGUUUUGCCUGGCUUCAAAGCUUCUUUGCAAUUGAACACCACCUCCAACAAGUGCCAAGUUGUGCUUUUUAGUUUGGUUUACAUUACACAGGGAUGAAUCUAUUGUCUCCAUCCUAUGGGAUAAAAGAGUAAUCUUUACCCAACAGAAAAGAGGAGCAUUUUAUUCUUAGUCUAUCAAUGUUGAUUCUCAAAAAAAAAAAUAAAAAAGUAAGUAGGUAAAGAGGGCCCA
ensembl:lncRNA